UGCAGUCGAACGAUGACGGUGGUGCUUGCACCACCUGAUUAGUGGCGAACGGGUGAGUAACACGUGAGUAACCUGCCCCCCACUUCGGGAUAACCUCGGGAAAUCGUGGCUAAUACCGGAUAUGAGCACUCAUCGCAUGGUGGGUGCUGGAAAGAUUUAUCGGUGGGGGAUGGACUCGCGGCCUAUCAGUUUGUUGGUGAGGUGAUGGCUCACCAAGACGAUGACGGGUAGCCGGCCUGAGAGGGCGACCGGCCACACUGGGACUGAGACACGGCCCAGACUCCUACGGGAGGCAGCAGUGGGGAAUAUUGCACAAUGGGCGAAAGCCUGAUGCAGCGACGCCGCGUGGGGGAUGACGGCCUUCGGGUUGUAAACCCCUUUCAGUAGGGAAGAAGCGAGAGUGACGGUACCUGCAGAAGAAGCGCCGGCUAACUACGUGCCAGCAGCCGCGGUAAUACGUAGGGCGCAAGCGUUGUCCGGAAUUAUUGGGCGUAAAGAGCUUGUAGGUGGCUUGUCGCGUCUGCCGUGAAAACCCGAGGCUCAACCUCGGGCGUGCGGUGGGUACGGGCAGGCUAGAGUGUGGUAGGGGAGACUGGAACUCCUGGUGUAGCGGUGAAAUGCGCAGAUAUCAGGAAGAACACCGAUGGCGAAGGCAGGUCUCUGGGCCAUUACUGACACUGAGAAGCGAAAGCAUGGGUAGCGAACAGGAUUAGAUACCCUGGUAGUCCAUGCCGUAAACGUUGGGCACUAGGUGUGGGGGACAUUCCACGUUUUCCGCGCCGUAGCUAACGCAUUAAGUGCCCCGCCUGGGGAGUACGGCCGC
rnacentral:rRNA from 1 species